GACGAACGCUGGCGGCGUGCUUAACACAUGCAAGUCGAACGGUGAGGGGAUCAGCUUGCUGGUUCUGGAUGAGCGGCGAACGGGUGAGUAACACGUGGGUAACCUGCCUCCUUCUCCUGGAUAACCGCAUGAAAGUGUGGCUAAUACGGGAUAUUCUGUGCCUGCUGCUUGGUGGGUGUGGGAAGGAGGUUGUGUCGGUGGGGGUUGGGCUCGCGGCGUAUCAGCAGGUUGGUGGGGGGAUGGCGUAGCAAGGCGGUGACGGGGAGCCGGCGUGGGGGGGGGCACGGUCACACUGGGGCUGAGGCACGGCCCACACGGCUACGGGGGGCAGCAGUGGGGAACACUGCAGGAUGGGGGCAAGCGUGAUGCAGCGGCGCCGCGUGAGGGAGGGUGGCGUUCGGGGUGUGAACCUCUUUCGCCAGUGAAGCAGUCCUGGCCCCUGUGGGUGGGUUGACGGUAGCUGGAUAAGAAGCGCCGGCUAACUACGUG
rnacentral:rRNA from 1 species